rnacentral:rRNA from 1 species
AACGAACGCUGGCGGCAGGCCUAACACAUGCAAGUCGAGCGCCCUUUCGGGGGGCGGCGGACGGGUGAGUAACGCGUGGGAAUAUGCCCUUCUCUACGGAAUAGCCUCGGGAAACUGAGAGUAAUACCGUAUACGCCCUAUGGGGGAAAGAUUUAUCGGGGAAGGAUUAGCCCGCGUUGGAUUAGGUAGUUGGUGGGGUAAUGGCCUACCAAGCCGACGAUCCAUAGCUGGUUUGAGAGGAUGAUCAGCCACACUGGGACUGAGACACGGCCCAGACUCCUACGGGAGGCAGCAGUGGGGAAUCUUAGACAAUGGGGGCAACCCUGAUCUAGCCAUGCCGCGUGAGUGAUGAAGGCCUUAGGGUUGUAAAGCUCUUUCAGCUGGGAAGAUAAUGACGGUACCAGCAGAAGAAGCCCCGGCUAACUCCGUG